rnacentral:rRNA from 1 species
UACGUAGGCAGCGAGCGUUGUUCGGAGUUACUGGGCGUAAAGGGCGCGUAGGCGGCAAGGCAAGUCGGGUGUGAAAGCUUGGGGCUUAACCCCGAAAGGGCACUCGAAACUGCGUUGCUAGAGGGCCGGAGAGGAGAUCGGAAUUCACGGUGUAGCAGUGAAAUGCGUAGAGCUCGUGAGGAAGACCGGUGGCGAAGGCGGAUCUCUGGACGGCCCCUGACGCUGAGGCGCGAAGGCUAGGGGAGCAAACGGG